rnacentral:rRNA from 1 species
AUUGAACGCUGGCGGCAGGCCUAACACAUGCAAGUCGAGCGGAUGAAGGGAGCUUGCUCCUGGAUUCAGCGGCGGACGGGUGAGUAAUGCCUAGGAAUCUGCCUGGUAGUGGGGGAUAACGUCCGGAAACGGGCGCUAAUACCGCAUACGUCCUGAGGGAGAAAGUGGGGGAUCUUCGGACCUCACGCUAUCAGAUGAGCCUAGGUCGGAUUAGCUAGUUGGUGGGGUAAAGGCCUACCAAGGCGACGAUCCGUAACUGGUCUGAGAGGAUGAUCAGUCACACUGGAACUGAGACACGGUCCAGACUCCUACGGGAGGCAGCAGUGGGGAAUAUUGGACAAUGGGCGAAAGCCUGAUCCAGCCAUGCCGCGUGUGUGAAGAAGGUCUUCGGAUUGUAAAGCACUUUAAGUUGGGAGGAAGGGCAGUAAGUUAAUACCUUGCUGUUUUGACGUUACCAACAGAAUAAGCACCGGCUAACUUCGUGCCAGCAGCCGCGGUAAUACGAAGGGUGCAAGCGUUAAUCGGAAUUACUGGGCGUAAAGCGCGCGUAGGUGGUUCAGCAAGUUGGAUGUGAAAUCCCCGGGCUCAACCUGGGAACUGCAUCCAAAACUACUGAGCUAGAGUACGGUAGAGGGUGGUGGAAUUUCCUGUGUAGCGGUGAAAUGCGUAGAUAUAGGAAGGAACACCAGUGGCGAAGGCGACCACCUGGACUGAUACUGACACUGAGGUGCGAAAGCGUGGGGAGCAAACAGGAUUAGAUACCCUGGUAGUCCACGCCGUAAACGAUGUCGACUAGCCGUUGGGAUCCUUGAGAUCUUAGUGGCGCAGCUAACGCGAUAAGUCG